UAGGGAAUCUUCGGCAAUGGGGGGAACCCUGACCGAGCAACGCCGCGUGAGUGAAGAAGGUUUUCGGAUCGUAAAGCUCUGUUGUUAAGGAAGAACGAGUGUGAGAAUGGAAAGUUCAUACUGUGACGGUACUUAACCAGAAAGGGACGGCUAACUACGUGCCAGCAGCCGCGGUAAUACGUAGGUCCCGAGCGUUGUCCGGAUUUAUUGGGCGUAAAGCGAGCGCAGGCGGUUAGAUAAGUCUGAAGUUAAAGGCAGUGGCUCAACCAUUGUAUGCUUUGGAAACUGUUUAACUUGAGUGCAGAAGGGGAGAGUGGAAUUCCAUGUGUAGCGGUGAAAUGCGUAGAUAUAUGGAGGAACACCGGUGGCGAAAGCGGCUCUCUGGUCUGUAACUGACGCUGAGGCUCGAAAGCGUGGGGAGCGAACAGG
rnacentral:rRNA from 1 species